rnacentral:lncRNA from 1 species
CCUCAGCCUUCUCUUCUCCAGGCUGAAGAGUCCCAGCUCUCUCAGCCUUUCCUCAGCAGGGAGAUGCUCCAAUCCCUCCAUCAUCUCUGUUGCCCUACGCUGGACUCUCUCCAGUAGUUCCCUGGGGGGCCCUCCGUGCCUGGCCCUUUGCUGCGUCCCACAUACAGCCCUGCCGUGUGCCCACUUUGUCCUCCUGGCAGCCAUUUCACCCACCCGCUCUCCCUGCACUGCCCUUUCUUCCUGGGGAGGGGGUUUGCUGCACCCAGAGCAGCCUCUGUCCCUGUCCCUGUCCCGCAGGGUGGCUCCGCACCUCUGGACCUUGCUCCCCAACAAGCGCUGUCGGCAGGUCCUGGACGUCUGCUCCCCUGGCUGUCCCUGGCAGCGGGUGGGGGACGGUGGGAUGCUGCCCCGGCCACUGCAGCGGCAGGGAUGGCACCCACAGAGCUGCAGGCCAGGUAUCACAUGGCAAGAAGGCCAAUGGCAUCCUGGGGUGCAUCAAGAAGAGUGUGACCAGCAGGUGGAGGGAGGUCAUCCUGCCCCUCUGCUCUGCCCUGGGGAGGCCCCAUCUGGAGCACUGGGUCCAGUUCUGGGCUCCCCAGUUCCAGAAGGACAGGGAACUGCUGGAGAGGGUGCAGCAGAGGGCUACAGAGAUGAUUAGGGGUCUGGAAGAUCUCUCCUACGAUGAAAGGCUGAGGGACUUGGGUCUUUUGAGUGUGGAGAAGAGAAGGUUGAGGGGGGAUCUGAUCAACACCUAUAAAUACUUCAAGGGUGGGUGUCAGGAGGAUGGGGCCAGUCUUUUUUCAGUGGUGCCCUGGGACAGGACAAGAGGAAAUGGGUACAACAUAGGAAGUUCCACCUAAACAUGAGGAGGAACUUCUUUGCUGUGAGGGUGGCAGAGCCCUGGCAGAGGCUGCCCAGAGAGGUGGUGGAGUCUCCUUCUCUGGAGACAUUCAAACCCCACCUGGACACGUUCCUGUGGGACCUUCUCUGGGUGGCCCUGCUUUGGCAGGGGGUUGGACUAGAUGAUCUCCAGAGGUCCCUUCCAACCCCGUAUCACAC